rnacentral:lncRNA from 1 species
CCUGAGCCCAGUGCCGUACUCAGUGAGUCUAAUAAUAACUAACCCGUGGAAAUAACAAGAUGGCUCAUUGAUUUUAAAAAAGUACCAGGAACAAGACAAGUGAUAACUAGGAUCGAUCCCCUGAAAUCGAGACAAAGGAAAGCCAUCGAGGUUUUUUUCUUCGCUUCGCCUAAUCCUAGGUGUAGAAGAAUCGA